UCCCAGACUCCUACGGGAGGCAGCAGUGGGGAAUAUUGCACAAUGGGGGGAACCCUGAUGCAGCGACGCCGCGUGGGUGAAGGAGCGUUUCGGCGCGUAAAGCCCUAUCGGCAGGGAAGAAGGAGGACGGUACCUGACUAAGAAGCCCCGGCUAACUACGUGCCAGCAGCCGCGGGAAUACGUAGGGGGCAAGCGUUAUCCGGAUUUACUGGGUGUAAAGGGGGCGCAGACGGCAGCGCAAGCCAGGAGUGAAAGCCCGGGGCCCAACCCCGGGACUGCUCUUGGAACUGCGCGGCUGGAGUGCAGGAGGGGCAGGCGGAAUUCCUGGUGUAGCGGUGAAAUGCGUAGAUAUUAGGAGGAACACCAGUGGCGAAGGCGGCCUACUGGACGGUGACUGACGCUGAGGCUCGAAAGCGUGGGGAGCAAACAGGAUUAGAUACCCUAGUA
rnacentral:rRNA from 1 species